rnacentral:rRNA from 1 species
GACGAACGCUGGCGGCGCGCUUAACACAUGCAAGUCGAGCGAAGCGGCGGACGGGUGAGUAACACGUGAGUAACCUGCCUUAGACAUUGGGAUAGCCUCGGGAAACCGGGAUUAAUACCAAAUGGUCUAAGAUGGACUCGCGUCCCAUUAGCUAGUUGGUGGGUAACGGCCCACCAAGGCGACGAUGGGUAGCCGGCCUGAGGAGGGGAACGGCAACAUGGGAACAGAGAAACGGUCCAAACUCGACGGAGGGAAGCAGUGGGGAAGCUUGCACAAGGGGGGGAACCCUGAGGCAGCGACGCCGCGUGAGCGAUGAAAGUUGUAGAAUCGUAAAGCUCUGUCCUAUGGGAAGCGGUACCAGAGGAGGAAGCCCCGGCUAACUACGUGCCAGCAGCCGCGGUAAUAC